rnacentral:hammerhead_ribozyme from 1 species
AUCUAGCUAAUGAGCCUCAAAUAGGACGAAACGCGCUUCCUGGAU